UCGAAAUGCCCACCACAGAGUUGUCGCUGGCCUCUUUGGCCGUGCACGCUUUGUCGUUCUUCAUUUCUCCAUCUACUAUGUGCACUCGCUUGCAUGGAUGAUCAUCGUCUGGGCCUCAGACUUCUUAGGACUGCUUUGCAAACGAAUUCUUUGUGGGCUUUCCUUGUUAUUCCAUGUCUCACAUAUACUCCAGUGUAACCAUGAAAUGAAAUGGAUUUGCAUAAUC
rnacentral:misc_RNA from 1 species